UCUCAGGCGCCCUCCCGUGAAGAAGCUCCAGUCAUUUCAUGUGUCCAUUGUUCUUAGGCGCUGACGCUGGUGCUGUUAGUCUGCGCAACAAGAAGAAUGUGUUGGGUGGUAGUUGGCCACACGCACACAAUUUGGGGAGAGGACAGCCGGGGGCAGACUCCCGAAUCGAUAAUUUUCUCAAGGGCAUCAACGGACACCCCCCAACGCU
ensembl:ncRNA C25D7.18 ncRNA